rnacentral:lncRNA from 1 species
AUUUUUAAAAGUUGUAUUGAAGUAUAGUUGAUUUACAAUGUUGUGAUAAUUUCUGCUGUACGACAAAGUGAUUCAGUUACACAUGUACACACAUACAUUCUUUUUCAGAUUAUUUUCCCAUGUAGAUUAUCACAGAACAUUGGGUAGAGUUCCCUGUGCUAUAUAGCAGGUCCUUGUUCACCAGUCAUUCCAUAUACUGCAGUUUGCACAGGCCAGCCCCAAAUCCCCAAUCCAUCCCUCAUCUCCACCUGUUCCCUUUGGUAACCAUAAGUUUGUUUUCAAAGUCUGUGAGUCUGUUUCUGUUCUGAAAAAUUUGCAUACUUUUUCAUAUUCCACAUAUAAGUGAUAACAUAUGAUGUCCAUCUUUCACUUCUGACUUACUUUACUUAGUAUGAUAAUCUCUAGGUCUACCCAUAUUGCUGCAAAUGGCAUGAUUUCAUUUUUUUAUGGCUGAGGAAUAUUCCCUUGUAUACAUGUGCCACAUCUUCUUUCAUCUUCCAUUGGUCUUUUUUUCAUAUAGCAGCCAGAGUGAUUCUUUUAAAAUAUAGGAUCUCUCCCCAAAACCUUUCCAUGGAUUUUCAUAAAAUUCAGAAUAAAAGCCACAGUCCAUACCAUGGUCCACUUGACUCUGCAGGAUCUUGCCAUUGGCAGCCUUCAGAUCCCAGCACUAGCUGCUCACCUCCUCCUGGCUGUGUUCCAGCCAUGCUGCUGCUAUAAUUGCCCAAGCACAUCCUCACCCUAGAGUCUGCAUGCUGUUCCUCUGCCCAUCCUCCUCUUUCCAACAACUGCAGUGGGUGAUCUCUCACUUCAUCUCUGUCUGAUCCGAGGUCUUCCCUGAAAAGCCUGUCUGACACUGGCCCACCAUGCAUCAUUCACCUUGAUUGGCUAUAUUCUCCACUGAGCAUAAAUUAAAUGAGGGCAAUUUCUUUGCUUUUGAUCCUUAUUUCAUGUCCAAUGUCCAGAGAGGAUUUGGCACAUGGUAGGCUAUCAAUAAAUAUUGUUGAAUGAAUGAAUGAAUGAAUGAAUGUCUUUAUUACCACUAUUCUGGUUUAAGCCACUGUGGCCUCUCGCCUAACAAUUCAAUAAUCUCCUAGUGGGUCUUCCAGCUUCCAUGUUUGCCUCUUCCAGUCUGACCUCCAUAGAGAAGACAGCAUUCUGUUUUAUAUAUGUUAAUCAGGUCAAGUUAUUCUCCUGCAUGAAACUUCCCAGUGGUAAUUUGUCAAACAAUGCAAUCCAAAUAUAGCAUAAUACAUAUACUAAAUUAUACACUACAUCCAAACUCUUUCUAUAUAGUAUAGGGAGGUGGAUUUGAGCUCUCUCCUGCCUAUCUCUCAGCAGCUGACUCCACACAUCCACCUUCACCAGUACACUCCAGCCAUAGCGACCCGCAAGCACCUCUAGCCCACUUCCAUCUUAGGGGCUUUUUUUAUACUGUUAGGUCCUUUUUUUGGGGAAUACUUACACCCCAAUCUUCACAAGGCUGGCUUGUUUUUGGUCCUUGGAACUUCAGCUUAAAUAUCACCUUAGCAGAAGGGACUUCCCUGUCUUCCUAGUACAAUGUAGACACCAGUCAUCACUGUCUCCGUAGCCCUAAUCUUGACCUAAUAUUUUUCUUAUUCAUUGGUGAUGGUCUGCCUCGCUCCCUCCCAUCUCACCUAGAAUAUAAGCUCCCAGACAUGAGGGAUUGUGCUGUCCUUGUUCUGCAUGGUGUCCCUAACAUCUAGGAUGGUAGUUGGCACAUACUAGGUGCUUAAUAUUUAUUUCUUGCAUCCAAUAGUUAAUAUUUUAUACUAUCUGAUACUAAACACCAUUUCUAGUGAGAGGAAGAUAUCCUGGUAAAGUUGCAUAUAGUUUGUUUCGUCCUUCCAAAUGAGUACAAUUUUCAAUUGGGACAAAUUUUCCAAUUAACCUAAAACGAUGUUCCCUCACAAGUCACACAUCCACCACAUCUGCUGAGUCUUCUGAGUAGGACCUUUCUAGUGACUUGGGUUAUACAGAUUUUAUUUUCCUCUACUAAGUGGCUAUUAUCCACACAAUGAUCAAAAGACCUUACAGAUGGACAGUAACUUAGGGUUUAUAGAAUCAGUUAUAAAAGCGAGCCUUUGAUCUGCCCCCAAACCCUGCAUUCAUUAGCGUUGUGUGUUAAGAUGGAGAGCAAGUGCAAAGAGGUAAAUGACUUUCCCAAGAACACAGGGCAAGGAAAUGGUGGCAUGAGAGCUCAGUUCAGGUUCCCCCUUUCUCUCCAAAUGUCUUGUUCUUUCCAUAGCACAUGAUCACCCUUCAAGAGACUACUUGGAAACAUGGAAGAUUAAAAAUGCAUCUUUCUCCUCUUUAGGUUUUCUCUCUCCUUACUUGCCAAAUCUUUACGAAUGCUAUGGAAUUCAGACAGAGCCCUGGUGCCAGAAAUCCCAACAAAGUUUGCAGACCUGAAAUGAACAUCUUUCUUCUCUCGUUCCAUCAUUUGUUCUGGUACUAAGAUAUGAGAAUUAUAAUAAUUUAUAUUUUAAUUACUCAGCCAUAAAAAAGGAUGAAAUUCUGCCAUUCGCAGCAAUGUGGAUAGACCUAGAGAACAUGAUGCUUAGUGAAGUAAGUCAGACAGAGAAAGACAAAUACUGUAUGAUAUCACUUACAUGUGGAAUUUUUUUAAAAAAAGCACAAAUGAAUAUAUAUGCAAAACAGAAACAGACUCAUAUAGAAAACAAACUUAUGGUUACCAAGGAGGAAAGAGAGGACUGACAAAUUAACGGGAUAGCUACAAUGUGUAAAAUAGAUAAGCAACAAGGAUACUAUUCAAUAGAAAAAUAAUUUAUAUUUUACAUGACUUGUAACUGACAUUUUAUGCAUUUAUUUAAAGGAAGGAUUUAUUGCAAAACACUGGAAAUUUGCAAACUUUUGGGAAAGAAUAUGACAGGAGAUGAGUAUAUGUGUGGGAGAAAGACGAAAAAUAGGUUCUUGAACCUGUAAUUUUAACUCCCACUCUGUUUCUUUCAAAUGUCUACACGGAGGAUAGUGUUUAUAAUAACUCAUCCCUUUAAGGCCAACACAUCCUGCCUGUGGGGCUAUUACUUCUGUCUAAAAAAUAAUUAAUGUAAGGUUUGUUGAUAUUUUUCAGUGUGCUAUGAAAGUGACACAUCCAGGGACGAGGGAACUAGCACUUUUUCAAAAAAAAAUAAAUGAUAUAUCUGUAAAUGAAGGAUAAUUUUAAUGUUUAUAAUAAAUGAGAGUACAUUGUUUACAGUUCAUAGGUAACUAAAAUCUACCAUUUAUGGAGAGAAUUUUUAUGGUUGUUAUAUAAAAACAGAUCUAAUCCUGGAUAAUAGCUCAUCAAUAUAAUUUUUUGUGUGUUGUGUAUUUACUACAAGCAUUACUAAAAUAAGUCAGUGCUAUCCAGUUUAGCUUUAUAUCUGGGGAAGAUGAGAUUAAGUGUUUAAAUCAGACUCAAUGACAAUGAUAGGCUAAUUUAGCAGAAAAUGUAACUCAAAUGGAUGAGUGUAAUAUACUUACUUAAGUAAUUCUUGAGACACAGCAGUAAAUGUAAUCUGUUCAAACAGCAACAAACAAUGUGUAGGAUUACUUACUCAUUUAAUCACAAAACAUCCAUGACAUCCUCCUCCUAUUUGGGCAAUAGGUUAUGUUUGUUCUAGUAUCUAGGAAAAUUUGCCCAGCUUCAGAUACUAAUCUCAACUGGCUUCCUGGUAGAUUCUGACAGUAUCACAUUUUUGGCCAAACUACACUGUCUCUUUUUUUCUGAUGUUUUCAAAAUCCUUCAGAGUCAAACAGUGACCACUGUGAAAGCACAUGUCUGAUGAAAAUGAUGAAUGAUCUGACGUUAUGUCAUUAAAUUGUUGUCUUUGGUCAAGAGAUCUGGAGGCUCUGAAUUGAAAACAUAUUUAAGGAGCUCCUGCUGUGGCACAGUGGGUUAAGAAUCUGACUGCAGUAGCUCGGGUGGCUGUGGAGACACAGGUUCAAUCCCCAGCUCAGUGCAAUGUGUUAAAGGAUCUGGUGUCGCCUCAGCAUGGGUUGCAGCUGCCUAGAACUUCCAUAUGCUGAGGGUGCGGCCAUUAUAAAUAAAUAAAUAAACAAAUAUAUAAAGUAAACUGAAAACAUAUUUAAAAGAAACAUCCUAUGGUUACCCAGCUCGUCAGGGGUGAAACUGUGUUUCAAAUGCAGGUCCAGCCCUGUGCUUUUCCUUUCCAUGUCCCUACACUUUCUCACUGAACUAAAACUGCAUACUGAUACUUUUAUAUCUGUUAAUGUUACCCAGAAAGCAUUUUUUUUCCCUGAUGGCGUUAUCCUAUUCUUUAUUUCCCUGCAAUAUUAAAUGAGUUUUAUGAGUUUUUCACAUACAGAAUGACAGCAGAUAUGUUUGAUUGACUGAGGCCUUCUAAUGGGGUUCUUUCUCUCUCUCUCUUUUUUUAAGGGCCACACUUGUGGCAUAUGGAAGUUCUCAGGCUAGGGGUCAAAUUGGAGCAGUAGCUGCUGGCCUACACCACAGCCACAGCAAUGUCAGAUCUGAGCAGUAUCUGUAACCUACACCACAGUUCAUGGCAACACCAGAUCCUUAACCCACUGAGCAAGGCCAGGGAUCGAUCCUACAUCCUCAUGGAUACUAGCCAGAUUCGUUACUGCUGAGCCACAAUGAGAACUCCCUAGUGGGCUUCUUUCUGGCUGACCGUGAAUACCUCCUUCAAGUGAGCUGGGAAGAAGGAAGAUGCUUCCCCAUCACACCUCUGAUUUGGCUCUGGUGCUUGGGGGCAGGUGAGGAUUCUCAGCCUGAGAUGGGGAGACUGGCUCUGGACACUCCAGAUACCAUCUAGGAAUUUUGAUGACUUCUGCUUAUCAAAAUUUUGCUCCCUAUUAAUGGAGAUUAGAAUAUCCUAAAUGUAACUCCACCGUAUAUGUGGGAAGAGCUAACUAUAAUACUUUAGAUUAUUGCAUCCCAUCCCUAAUGCUUAUUCAACGAUGUAAAUACUGAGAAAGAAAAUGUGCACACUGCAGUAUUGCAAAGAUGUCUUUUAGAACCAGAGGUCAAAUUAGCCACAUAAGGAAAUGGAGUGACAUUCGGAGAAUAUGCAUAUUAUUUAAUAAUCCUGGAAGUAUUGUGGGAAAUUAGGCCUUUAUAACCCUUUCUGUUUAUAUUUGUGAUGAUUAAAUAUUAUUUAUAUGGAUGUAUUUUGGGAAGUUAUUAAGAACCAUGUACAUAUGUUAAUUAUUAUUUAUAAUGGAGCUUAGAAAACAAACAGUAUUAGAAAGCUUAAGAGGGAGGGAGAAAAUGAAAGAAUGAGCUGUAAAAUAUUUUCAAAGACUGUCAAUUAGUCAUUGACUUAGUCAUAAUUUUUAUCUACUGAAACGUACAUGGAAAAUGCCCUUAUAAUUUUACUGCCUUUCAUAGCCUUUAAAAAUAUAUAAGUUCUUCUUAUCUCAGAAUCUGUAGAAUGAUAGCAGUCAAAGCUAGUUAUUUAUUAAAGUUCCUUUCUCAUAGGCGCUAUAAUUCCAAGAGGAAAGAGACCAAUUUCUGGCUCUUUAUUUAUUAUUAUUAUUAUUUUUUAGGGCCACACUUGCAGCAUAUGGAAGUUCCCAGGCUAGGGAUAGAAUCAGAGCUGGAGCUGCCGGCCUAUACCACAGCCACAGCAAUGCCAGACCCAAGCACAUAUGCAGCUACACCACAGCUCACAGCAGUGCUGGAUCCUUAACCCACUGAGCAGGAACAGGGAUCAAACCCGCAUCCUCUUGGAUCCUAGUUGGGUUAGUUUCUGCUGAGCCACAAUGGGAACUCUGACCAUUCCUGGCUCUUAAUAUUUUUUGAAAAUUUUACCUUCUGUGAAAGUGAAGAAAGGAAAACUGUUCAUAGGCCAACCUAACAAUCUCAAACUCAGGCAUAGCUUAUAUGCUUUAAUUCUUAUAGUUCCUCAGAAUUGAUAAAUGCAUCCAAAAAUGAUCGUCAUAAAAUAGGGCCAGUAUCAUCAUAAAACAGGGUGAGUAUCAUCACAGAUAAAUAUAUGGAACAAAUAAUACAUUAAGAUAUGGCCAUGACCAUGAAUUCUAAUGAGGAAUUAGAAACUAGUUACAGAAACUAAAAGCAAAAGUCCAGAAUGUGAAACAAGGUAGAUGUGUUCUUUUUCUUCCU